rnacentral:rRNA from 1 species
UGGGGAUAUUGCGCAAUGGAGGAAACUCUGACGCAGCAACGCCGCGUGAAGGAAGAAGGCUUUCGGGUUGUAAACUUUUGUCUUCAGGGAAGAAUAAAUGACGGUACCUGAGGAGGAAGCCACGGCUAACUACGUGCCAGCAGCCGCGGUAAUACGUAGGUGGCGAGCGUUGUCCGGAAUUACUGGGUGUAAAGGGUGCGUAGGCGGGUUAUAAAGUCAGAUGUGAAAUACCGAGGCUUAACUUCGGGGCUGCAUUUGAAACUUAUGAUCUUGAGUGAGGUAGAGGCAAGCGGAAUUCCCAGUGUAGCGGUGAAAUGCGUAGAUAUUGGGAGGAACACCAGUGGCGAAGGCGGCUUGCUGGGCCUUAACUGACGCUGAGGCACGAAAGCAUGGGGAGCAAAC